UACGUAGGGGGCUAGCGUUGUCCGGAUUUAUUGGGCGUAAAGAGCGUGUAGGCGGCCAGGUAGGUCCGUUGUGAAAACUCGAGGCUCAACCUCGAGCUGUCGAUGGAAACCAUCUGGCUAGAGUCCGGAAGAGGAGAGUGGAAUUCCCGGUGUAGCGGUGAAAUGCGCAGAUAUCGGGAGGAACACCAAUGGCGAAGGCAGCUCGCUGGGACGUGACUGACGCUGAGACGCGAAAGCGUGGGGAGCAAACAGG
rnacentral:rRNA from 1 species